CAAAAGAUUCCCAUUGGAUUUUCUCUGAUUUUCAACAUUUUUUUAUAUCAGGUUAUGAACAUAGACAUUGAUUCCUCAACAGAAGACUUGUAAUUGGACAUUUGACUUUAAAGGGAAUAAGCUUUAAACUAUUCAUAGUACAACCAUGAUUAACAUAAAAAUUAAUUUGAUUCCUUGUCUGAGGCAUGCAGUAUCAAGAAGACUCUUCCCUCUAAUCAUUUUUGAGUCUUGCACUAGAGUUCAUCAUUUAUGUUAUUAAUAGAAUAAAGCCCCCUGUCCCGGCUUGGGGACUGGGUUGAAGACAAGGGCGCCACAUGAAGCUUGGCCGACACCCCCUCCAAUAGGGGGACGCCACCCUAUUCCCAAGUCGGGACAGGGAGCAAGGUUGUUAUUAAUAACAAAGCAAAAGUAAAUCAAACAUGCUAGAAAUACAAUACCUUAUACAACUUGCCACGGAAGCCGCCACUUGGCCACCUUGUCAAUCAAGUUGUACAAAGUAUUGUACAAAUAGAAUAAUUCAAAGUAAAUUAUUUCAAGUACACUUAAACUAUAGAUUAAAAGAAAGAAGUUGACAAUAAGCAUCAAAUUGAAUAAUCCAUUGCCAAGAGUAAUGAACAAAAUUAAGCCAUUUCAUUUAGACCUGUGAAAAGAUUCUGGGAGGCUGCUAACAGAAGAGAACAAGAACAAGGACAUUAAUCCCACAAAUAAUCCUCAAUAAAAUCAUCAUAUUGUCCCCAAAAGAUUCCCAUUGGAUUUUCUCUGAUUUUCAACAUUUUUUUAUAUCAGGUUAUGAACAUAGACAUUGAUUCCUCAACAGAAGACUUGUAAUUGGACAUUUGACUUUAAAGGGAAUAAGCUUUAAACUAUUCAUAGUACAACCAUGAUUAACAUAAAAAUUAAUUUGAUUCCUUGUCUGAGGCAUGCAGUAUCAAGAAGACUCUUCCCUCUAAUCAUUUUUGAGUCUACUUGCACAUGCCAGAACCUUGAGACAAGGUCAAAUUCAUAGUGCAGGGAAACAAGAAAAAGGGUUAUACUAAGGGCAUGAUUGGUGCUUCGUAUUUGACGACUAAACAGGAUAAAGAAAGGAACAUAUGAUAGAAUAUCUAAUUCUGUUAAGUUCAACAUACCAAACAUAUCAUACGAGCAUUCAGCACUGCUGAAUAAACAAAUGCACACAUUUUGUAUUCUCAAAAUAUGCAUGAUCACUGCUAACAGUCUGAAUGAAUGUCGAUCCUCAGAUUCCGAUGGUUCUUUAUCAAAAAUUUAGUACAGCUCAACAGUAAAAAGAACAUAUCAAAAUAAUUGAACGCUCGGCACCAGGCCGUAAAUCUUGAUUCCUGACUUUCCUUUUUUUUUUUUUGUCUUACAGAGUGCGUACAUAUGGAGUACAUCAAAGACUCGAAAAUUUUAAAUCAAUUGUAGACUUAUUUUCAUCAAUGUAUUUACUUAAAUUAUAAAUAAAUUGAAGAUGACGAUUGCUCAUCAUGAUGAUUAAAUUAAUUAGCUAAGAAUAGAAGGCCAAAACUAAAACCCGGUUCAUCUGAAAACCAGAUUGUGAUCCCCAAAAGAUUCCCAUUAGAUUUUCUCUGAUUUUCAACAUUUUUUUAUAUCAGGUUAUGAACAUAGAAAUUGAUUCCUCAACAGAAGACUUGUAAUUGGACAUUUGACUUUAAAGGGAAUAAGCUUUAAACUAUUCGUAGUACAACCAUGAUUAACAUAAAAAUUAAUUUGAUUCCUUGUCUGAGGCAUGCAGUAUCAAGAAGACUCUUCCCUCUAAUCAUUUUUGAGUCUACUUGCACAUGCCAGAACCUUGAGACAAGGUCAAAUUCAUAGUGCAGGGAAACAAGAAAAAGGGUUAUACUAAGGGCAUGAUUGGUGCUUCGUAUUUGACGACUAAACAGGAUAAAGAAAGGAACAUAUGAUAG
rnacentral:lncRNA from 1 species